rnacentral:lncRNA from 1 species
CUGACAUUAUGCACCAGAAUCUGAGCAACCCACUGGGCUGGCCAAAACAGUGGCGUUAAGACUGAUGGUGAUCUUCUGCCCGAGAAUCUCCAGUCUGGCUU